AGUUUCCAGUUCCUGUGCAAAGGAAGGGCACGCAUGUUUUUGUGCACAUGCAUGUGUAUAGUCAUCCUUAACUUCACUGUUAAACAGGACAUCGUGUGGACAAAAAGUCACAGCUCCACUCCAAGCUCAAGAUGCCUUUUGGUCAAUAAUGGUGACAAAAGCUGAAUUUUUCCCUAUUUAGGGAAAAGAAAGAACACAGCCAUUUCCCCCACUGUCCGUUUUGCAUAGAUCUCCUUUUUCCGAGUGUUUUCUCUUUAAUUAUGACCUGUCUCCCCUCCCUCUCCCCUCGCCUCAGCUUCAGUGAAAGGAGUCCUUCUGUCACUCGUCACUAGCUCGCUCGCUCACUGUGGGAGGAGCCCGCCUGAAGAAGCCGUGUGCCUGGGAUGCCAAGAGCCAGAGAAUGGAUCUGCUCCGAGUGGGGACAUUGCUGACAAUCCCGGCUUCCAGAGGCGGCUAAGAACAGGCAGUUUGUGUCGGCUGGCUGCAGAUACCCAGAGGCACAAAGAGACCGAAACCACCCGGAGGGACCCACGGACGGACAGAUGGUAGGCGCGAACCCGAGAGGACCGGCGGAGGCUGAGCACCGAGAGCCGCCAAGGAAGAGAAACUAACUGCACACCCAAGUUACCCCGCCGGCUUUCCUUCGCUGCGCUAAGGAAUGAAACCUUUCCAGCUCGAUCUGCUCUUCGUCUGCUUCUUCCUUUUCAGUCAAGAGCUGGGCCUCCAGAAGAGAGGAUGCUGUCUGGUGCUGGGCUACAUGGCCAAGGACAAGUUUCGGAGAAUGAAUGAAGAGACAGAGUUUUGCUCUUGUUGCCCAGGCUGGAAUGCAAUGGCGUGAUCUCGGCUCACUGCAAGCCCCGCCUCCCAGGUUCAAGCGAUUCUCCUGCCUCAGCCUCCUGAGUAGCUGGGACUACAGGCACCCACCACCUCAUUCGGCUGAUUUUUUGUAUGUUUAGUAGAGACGGGGUUUCGCCAUGUCGGGCAGGCUGGUCUCGAACUCCUGACCUCAGGUGAUCCACCUGCCUCAGCCUCUCAAAGUGCUGGGAUUACAGGCAUGCGACUAAUAUUCUUAAUGUAACCCUGUGGCUUAGGAGUAGGAGAAAUCUAGAUUCAAAUCCCAGGUGUAGUCAGGGCAGGCUUAGACCCCUAUCAUUACAGAUUCUCCAGGCCAGAAGGGACCAAAGGUCAUCUGGUUCCAUAUCCCUGUCAAGCACCAACGUGUGUAAAGACUGUGAACACAGCCGUAUGCUCAUUUAUUCACCAACCAUGUGUCCAGUGCCCGCUCUGUGCCUGGCGCUGUGCAUGUAAAAACACAGUCCCUGCCCCCAAGGAUACCACUGUCUUGAGGGGAAAGACAAACACGUCAGCAACUACAAUACAAUGUCGCAGUUGCGGUAACCGGGUAUGAAUAAGUAGCUAUGGAAACAGAGAAGGAGAAUCCAAUCACACUGUAGGCCAGGAGAGGAGUGUCCAGCAUGGCUUCUGGAGAAAUGAGCCCUGUGAGAUGUUUUAUUAUAAGAGGCUGUUGCAACCUAUGCUUGAAUCCCUCCAAAGACAAGAAACUAGCAGCCUGCCGAGGCGGUGGGCAGCUCCUCAGCCAGGCUCUCCAAACACCACACCCCUUCCACCCCAGGAGGCUGCAGUUUUCACAUUCUAGCUUUAUUGAUGACAAGGGGACCCAGUGACUUGGACAGCAGCCACUGGCAAGAUCCUGGGGUCUCCACUAUGUCAACUGCACCAAGGAUGCCUCCUUUCUUCUCUCUGCUUCUUUCUUCCAUCCCCAGCCAGCCUCAAAGGCUUCAUCACAGAAUUCUUUGAGUGCUGAGACCCUCCCCCAGCCCUCUCCCCAGGGUCUGAAGAAAGCCCCAGAGAAGUUGCAAUAAAUGAAGGUGCUUAAUGGCUUGCGGUGCCAUAAAGUUUUUAGAGCUCUGCGCUGGAAUGAGCAGGUUCAGGCUGAGAUGAAUUAUCCAGGGCUUUUAUCAAAGGGAGUCAAUAAAAACCUGAAGGAUCUUGCCCCACC
rnacentral:sRNA from 1 species